AGAUUAAACUGAAGAGUUUGAUCAUGGCUCAGAUUGAACGCUGGCGGCAGGCUUAACACAUGCAAGUCGAGCGGUAACAGAUCUAGCUUGCUAGAUGCUGACGAGCGGCGGACGGGUGAGUAACGCGUAGGAACCUGCCCAGUAGUGG
rnacentral:rRNA from 1 species